UCGCCAGACUCCUACGGGAGGCAGCAGUGGGGAAUAUUGCACAAUGGGCGCAAGCCUGAUGCAGCAACGCCGCGUGAGCGAAGAAGGUCUUCGGAUCGUAAAGCUCUGUCCUUGAGGAAGAAGGAAGUGACGGUACUCAAGGAGGAAGCCCCGGCUAACUACGUGCCAGCAGCCGCGGUAAUGCGUAGGUGGCAAGCGUUGUCCGGAUUUACUGGGUGUAAAGGGCGUGCAGCCGGGAAGACAAGUCAGAUGUAAAAUCCCGCGGCUCAACCGCGGAACUGCAUUUGAAACUGUUUUUCUUGAGUACCGGAGAGGUCAUCGGAAUUCCUUGUGUAGCGGUGAAAUGCGUAGAUAUAAGGAAGAACACCAGUGGCGAAGGCGGAUGACUGGACGGCAACUGACGGUGAGGCGCGAAAGCGUGGGGAGCAAACAGGAUUAGAUACCCCCGUAAG
rnacentral:rRNA from 1 species